UCCGUAGCUGAACCUGCGGAGGGAUCAUUA
rnacentral:rRNA from 2 species